GUCGAGAAUAAUUCACAAUGGACGAAAGUUUGAUGGUGCAACGCCGCGUGGAGGAUGACGGUCUUCGGAUUGUAAACUCCUGUCAUCCGGGAGUAAGACCUGGCUGUGAAUAGCAGACAGGGUUGAUAGUACCGGAAGAGGAAGGGACGGCUAACUUCGUGCCAGUAGCCGCGGUAAUACGAAGGUCCCGAGCGUUGUUCGGAAUCACUGGGCGUAAAGGGAGCGUAGGCGGCGUGGUAAGUCAGAUGUGAAAUCCCGGGGCUCAACCCCGGAACUGCAGCAGAUACUGACGUGCUAGAGGAUUGGAGAGGUAGCUGGAAUUCUUGGUGUAGCAGUGAAAUGCGUGGAGAUCAAGAGGAACACUCGUGGCGAAAGCGAGCUACUGGACAAUAUCUGACGCUGAGGCUCGAAGGCCAGGGUAGCGAAAGGGAUUAGAAACCCUUGUAGUCC
rnacentral:rRNA from 1 species